ensembl:lncRNA
GGGUAAGGCAGCUUCCUUCUGUUGAGGGCAAUUUCCAGAGAGAGACUCAGCCGUGAGCCAUCAGCUUCCAACACUACCAGCAGCUGGGGGAGGUUGGGAUAGUAAGAGCCUCUGGUGAGAAGGGAGAGCCGGCCAGAACGCCACAGCGCCCGUUGCCGGUGGCCAUUUUGUAUGAGCUUGGGAAGGGCUCAGGGGCCCGGAGACAAGGGGUCUGUUUCUUUAGGGACCAAAUGACUCUGGAGGGAGAAGCCAAGGCAGGGGAAAGAGAUUGAACAGAGAAGACAGACAGAUGGAGCUCUUAGAACUUGAAGAGACUUAGAGAACUUCAGUCCAAUCCCACAACCCAAUAUCGGACUCCGCCCAAAAGCAAGCGGGAAGUGGCUCGCUGCACCUUCCCUGGAGGGUGGAGAAGUUCUUCCUUAUUGUCAGCUAACAUCAGCCUUCCUCUAUACGCAUUCUCUCCCAUCUCCUUUUCCAGAAGGCUGCUGAGGCUCAUCGCUUGGAAGCACCAGGAAAUGUGUCUCCCUUCCUCCACCGGGCAGAUCCUCAAAUAUUUUGAAGACACUUUUUAUACUCUCUCUAAAUCUUUUCUCCAGGAUAAACAUCCUCAGGCCUGCAUAGACUCUAAGGUUUCUUCCGACCAUACAAUUCAAUUACACUAGGAGAUUCCUUGAUCUUCCUUAUAUGCUAUUGUUCCAAACACUUCUUCAAUCAUCAUAUAUUUAUUAAGUAUCUAUCUGGGGCCAGGCACUUCAGUAGGUUCUGGGGAUACAAAAAUAAACAAGGACAUUCCUGCUCCAUGAGUUGAUGCUCUUUGGGAGCAAAGACAAGGAAAAAUCUCUCUGAUACGACUAGUGCAACCAGCAGCACUUAAGAGAAAGCACGGGAUGUAAGGUGUACUGCCUAGAUUUGAAUUCUGUCCUGACCGCUCACAAGCGUGUGUCUUCGAAUUGCUUAAUCUCUUGAUCUCAUCUCUUGAGUUAAUCUCCUUCAUUCAUAGAAAGGAUAAAUACAAUGUCUACCUCGUAGCAUUGUCAUGAGGAAUUAAAUGGAUGAGUCCAUGUGAGCCUCUUAAAACAGUGCCUGGCACGCAAUAAAGACGCAGUGAAAGGCUCUAGAAACAAGGUGUUCGGAGCUGGCCACAGCACGUCAGAUGUGGCAGACCAGCCUGGAACACAUAUACGUCUAGGCACGAAGGGCACUUCUUGCACACGGUCCAAGACAGCGAUCACCUGCCUUUGCCAGUACUAUGCUGGGUGCUGGGCAUAUGAAGACAGGUCACAGCUGCCUCUGCACUGAGCUGUGUAUGUGCGUGUAUCAGAUUCAAGAGGGUGGCAAGAGAUGAGUUAAAGAUCUUCUAGCUAAACCUCCCACUCGCCUUCAGCUCCAGGGGCGAGCCUGCUAACCUAGGAGAGCCGCCUGCUCUCAGAAACUGGAGUCCUUGGGGGGCGCUGUUGGCACCAUGCUAUGGCCCACUCCCUCCCUUCUCUCCCCAGAAUAACCACUGCUCAACAAGUUUGAGUCCUCGGGCAGCUGCUCAACAUGGGCUGUGUAGCUGACUUGAAUGAUCCCGCAUGAAAGGGCCCAGCUACACACUGGGUUGCAUUGGACAACUACCCAAAAUCCAAGAAUGGGACAUCUUAAUCCGGGGGUCAUCAAAGAGUGCUGAAGAAGACCACUUAUUGACAGACAUCAUUAAUCAAUAACUAUUUUUCAUAGUACACCCCUAUCUUUUCUAUCAUAAACUAGAUAAAAGUAUUAUGGAGACAUAUGUGUAGUAUGGUGGUGGCUGGGGGGGAAGGUUAUUGCAAACCCCUGUAGAUUUCUCUUUGCCCAUUACUAGAUACUUCUUCCAGGUAGCUGACAAAUCUGUAAAAAUAAAACGUUUGUAUCUAGUCAUGAUAAAUAUGCCUGAAUUGUCAUAUGUUCUAGCUUCUUUGCAAUUUGGCCAGUAAAAUGCGAAAUUUUAAAAAGAUAAAUUUUUAGACACUUUCAGGAUUGGGAAAUUCUAAUUUUCUACUGGACCUUGAAAUUGUAAUUCCC